UUCUAAUUGAAAAUUAUGCUCGACAAAUUAUAAAACUAAAACACAAAUCUGAAAAAUAGAUAAAUUAUGUACAGUAGAGAAGUAAUUUUACCAGGUCAACAUUUAUUAUAAAUUCAAUUAUUUCCAAAGUGAUACUUAUGAUAUUCAAAAAUCCUCAAUAAUAGUUUUCUGUACCUUGUGUGCACCAUGAAUAAAAUGCAUCCCCAUAUCAUCUAUUCUUCAAUAACAUUGAACUUCAUUUUAUGUACUCAACAAGGAGAGAAAAAGAGCUAGGCAGGUGGGCUGGGAGUCAUGUGGCUGUGUGAAGCCCCCCACCAUCUGGCUUGCAAUGCCCACCUGUGCCCAGCAAGAUGGUGAGGACCCCUCAGCAAACCCACUGGCAAGCAGCUAGGCAGUGGGUGCCUGCAACCUCUGGGCCCCAGGACCCCCCCAUACCACCUGUGUCCUGGCUGUGCUGCCACUUGGUUCCACACUACAGAGGCACAGGAGGGCAUAAAGGCCAUUGUCCUGAGCUGCAGAAGUGAACAACAGAUAGAGGCCUUCUCUUAGUCUACUUGAUGACACCUGAAGCCCAUUGGAAAAGUGAAGAGAGAAUCUCUGCAAUAAAGGCACACCAGACCACAGUACUUGGACUAUACAGAAUGAAUGAAGAGCUAUAACACUUAGUAAUGGUUUAAAAUUGAGGACAAUGAUGGAUCACAGUUUGUACAAGGCUGCACUAGAAAAAAUCUUCAUCAAUGUAAGAAACAUGGGAAUUACUUCUGGGGGAAAAAUGAAAUUUAGUAAAGUGUGAAGUCCUCAAAGGUAUAGGUAGUUUUUAAUUAAAGGAAGGAGUUACACUGGAGUCAAAACUCUUGAAUGUAAUGAAUUGUGAAAGAAUGUAGUAUAUAAGGAAGUAUUUUAUGACUUGGCCUAAUUUCAAAGACAAGAAAUGAAUCAUACUGAGAAGAAAUUAUAUAUGUGUGUGUGUGUGUGUGUAUAGCUACAAGAUGAUAGUUCAUUUCUUGUAGGUAUGUUUAAAAGCAUGAAAGGACACUGUAUAAAACCCUCUUAAUGACUGUAAAUAGUGUGGGAAGAUUGUGCAUAUUUUGCAAGUCUGAAGAUAAUUUGUAGUCCACAUUGGAGAUGGACAUUAUGAAUGUCAGUUAUGUGGGAAAGCCUUUGAUUGCCUCAGUUGAUUUUUAAGGCAAGAAAGUCCACAGUACAAAGAAACCCAAUAAGAAAUGUUUGAAAGAUUUCAUUUCAUUACCAAUCACUAUUGACACAUAUGACUAAGCACAUAUGACAACACACCACAGUAAAGCUUAUGAAUUGGUAUCUCAUAUUGCCAGUUCUUUUUGUAUGCCAUAAACAGGCUCAUUGAAGAAAAUGCUGUGGAUGUAAAUAGUAAGGGGGAGGCUUUCACUAUUUCACUUAAUUUCAUGUAAAAACGUAGUACUUAAUAAAGAGGAGCCCUAUAAAUAUAAGAAAUUUUGGAAUGUCUGGAAAUUUUUUAGUUUCUUUCAAAUUUAUAUUAUUUA